CCUACGGGUGGCAGCAGUGGGGAAUAUUGGACAAUGGGCGAAAGCCUGAUCCAGCCAUGCCGCGUGUGUGAAGAAGGCCUUCGGGUUGUAAAGCACUUUCAGUGGGGAAGAAAGCCUUGGGGCUAAUACCCUCGAGGAAGGACAUCACCCACAGAAGAAGCACCGGCUAACUCCGUGCCAGCAGCCGCGGUAAUACGGAGGGUGCGAGCGUUAAUCGGAAUUACGGGGCGUAAAGCGCGCGUAGGCGGUCUGAUAAGCCGGUUGUGAAAGCCCCGGGCUCAACCUGGGAACGGCAUCCGGAACUGUCAGGCUAGAGUGCAGGAGAGGAAGGUAGAAUUCCCGGUGUAGCGGUGAAAUGCGUAGAGAUCGGGAGGAAUACCAGUGGCGAAGGCGGCCUUCUGGACUGACACUGACGCUGAGGUGCGAAAGCGUGGGUAGCAAACAGGAUUAGAUACCCCUGUAGUC
rnacentral:rRNA from 1 species